GUCAGAAUUGCUUUGGAGAACGAAGUGAGGUCACGUACUGACUCCUUCUCAUUUUCCAGCUUGGUGCGCCAUAUGACUGAAGUUCAAAAAUAGAGCAUGCAUUGUCAGUGCACCUUAUAAUCCAGCUCCCUACAGUGCGGAAAAUACGUGUUGCUGAAACAAAGAUGCCUAAACAAGCAAGCCGAGAAGCAGGUGAGAAGCCUCGAAUCCGCACGUGGAAGCGAGCUCCUUUUGGCUAUAUGCGCUUAUCUCUGUUCACAGAGCAGGGUUGGCAAACAAAGCCACCGUCGUAUGUCAAUGCAAAUGAAAGUCAUUGCGUCGCAUGCUUCUUAAUGCUGUGCUGUGGAUCGCUGAAGGUUUUGCUACAAUCUGCCUUUGGUGAAUCUCCUGAGGAGCAGUGUAGGCACAAUGCAGGAGCUGGAAACUGCUGGUUUAAAAAAAUAAAUAAAAAACAUCCUGCACAUGGUGGAACGUGCCCAGCAUUGAAUGAUAAGGAUGUUAGACCAGAUGGUUUAGUGAUUGAAUGAUGACUCAUUUUAACUUUCUUGUGAAGCCCAGUUUUUUAUUGUUUAGCAAAACAGACAAACUUUUGGUCGUGAAAUAAAGAAAAAACAUAAAUACCCACGGUCUUUGUGAUUUUAGGAAGUAAGAUGCUUGUUCUGACAGAUUAUCCACAUGGUAAUUAUCAUAAUGUAUCUGCAUGUGAAGGUACAUGAAGUCUGAGCCUGUCAUGACACAUGUGAUAGCUCAUCAAUGAUUGACAGCACACAGCAUCACACCUGCGUCCUACAUAUCUAUUUUUUCAAACUAAGUUGGCAAAUCACAAGCGAGUAAAAGCAAAACCCCCAUUUAUGAUAAGAUUAUAAUGUUUUAAUCAAUUUGAAAAACAAUAAAUGCCACGAUUUAUGUGCAACAGCAAAAGCAGAUUGUGUUUUUUUUGUGUUAGCCAUAUGCCUUGAGCAGGCACAGAAGACUCCAACUUGAGUGAAAAAAUACUUGGGGCGACAUCAUAAUGCUUUCUGACCUUUGCGUCACAGCAGAUCAAAGGCAUCAGUUCAAGGAUCCAGUAAAAGAAGCCUUUUCUUUUUUUUUCUUCUAUUCAAAACAAUUCAUAAACAGAGUAUGUCUUGUACAGUCAGUGAAAAGAAAUGUCACCUUUGUGGCAGAGUACCACAUUAUUAUUUUUUAUUCAUACAAUCACAUUUUCUGCUAACUGAAUUUUUCCUACUAACCACUGAAUAGGACUUUUUCACAUAUUCUAGGAAAGUGCACAAAAUAUUGUUCAUACCAUCUAUGAGUGUAAAAUUUAACAGCUAAAAACAUAAUGCUUUUGACAGAAAAAUGACCUCAAACUUAAAAGAAACUUUAGGUAGCUAGAAAUGGAGCAUAAUCAUCCCCAUCUGCCCAUCCAAGCUGUGCCAAAGUUGUUAGACGCAUCUUCAGCUCCAGUGCAGUUUCUUAUUGUUUUUUAUUCCUGGUAAGAUUGUUAUUUUUUUCACCUUAACCAGGUGUGUUUUCUUCUGCCGCAACUCGUUCUGACACUCUGCAUCAAACACUUUAAGAUCAAUGAUGCAAACGCUUUCACACAU